rfam:Danio rerio chromosome 4, GRCz11 reference primary assembly.
GUCUCUGUGUUGCAAUCGGUUAGCGCGUUCGGCUGUUAACUGAAAGGUUGGUGGUUCAAGCCCACCCAGGGACG